rnacentral:lncRNA from 1 species
UCCUCUCCUCCAUCGCCGGGAGGUUCACCAACCUCUCCAUCACCGCCGGGGACGACGCCUAUUACUCCAUCGCCGCCAGCAGUGUCACCUAGCACUCCGUCACCGCCAGGGACGACACCUAUCUCUCCAACACCGCCGGGAACAACACCUACAUCUCCAGAACCACCGGCAUUGCCACCUAGCACUCCUUCACCUCCGGGAACGACACCUAUCUCUCCAUCACCACCGGGAACGACACCUUCCAUUCCACCACCAACACACUCUUCUCCGCCGGGAACACCCAACUCUCCAUCACCACCGGGAAUGACACCUUCCUCUCCACCACCAACGCACUCUUCUCCACCGGGAUAUACACCAUCUCCAAUAACUCCUGUGGUGUCGCCACCAUCUCCUGCUCCUCAUUAUGGAUCAUCCCCACCCCCUCAUUCCCCUUUUUUUUCACCACCACCGGGAACGUCCCCUUCCUCUCCACCAACGCCGGGAACGGUGCCUUCCUUUCCACCACCAACACACUCUUCUCCGCCUGCGCAUCCAACACCUCCAUCUACAACUCCAACACCUCCUGUUGUAUCGCCACCCUCACAUACUCCAAUGCCACCGUCUCAUUCACUAUAUCCACCCCCACCGACAGGUCCUCAUUAUGGCCGCCAAUCACCGCCACCACCAUCUGAAUCUCCACCUUCUAUAGGACCUCCUCCGUCACUGUCACCACCACCUUGUGAAGAGCAUCCAUCCCCACCCGGACCACCAUCUUCUUCCACACCAACACCACCAGUACAUGUAUCUCCAC